ACGCCCUGUAGCAUAUAUAUUGCAUAUACACUCUUCUUUACAUACAUUUUCUAAAUUCAGGAGACCAAGAACGCACCUUCAACAACGAGCUAGUAAAGGUUGGUUUCCAUUUUUGGUGGCAAGACCAGAAAUGAAACCACAACGCAAGAAACUAGUGUUUAUUUUUCUUCUUGCCAUCUCCUUACUAGAUUCUUGGUCCACUGUGUACUCAGAUCUAGCAUCAGAUAAGAUUGCCCUCGAAGCUCUGCGUAAGGCAGUGGGUGGUCGAUCCCUCCUCUGGAAUAUUUCCAACAGUCCUUGCUCAUGGGUUGGCGUAUUUUGUGAACGGGAUAGAGUUGUUGAGUUGCGCUUGCCUGGCAUGGGUCUCUCCGGGAAGCUACCUAUCGCCCUUGGCAACCUUACACAGCUGCAUACUCUGUCUCUCCGCUUCAACGCACUUUCUGGUCCAAUCCCAGCUGAUAUAGGCAGUCUUGCAUCGCUACGCAAUCUUUACUUGCAAGGGAACUUUUUUUCUGGGGAGAUUCCUGAAUUCUUGUUUAAUUUGCAGAAUUUGGUAAGGCUUGACUUGGCUCACAAUAAUUUCUCUGGCGAAAUCCCUACGAGUUUUAAUAAGUUGAAGAGGCUGGGAACUCUGUAUCUGGAGGAGAAUCAGCUUAAUGGUUCCAUUCCUGACCUGAAUUUGCCAUCUCUUGAUCAAUUCAAUGUUUCUUUUAACAAGUUA
rnacentral:misc_RNA from 1 species